UGCACAGACGGCGCGCGCACAGUGGCGGUGCCGUUCUACAAGCGAGGUGACGCGCGAACGGCCCCUUGCGCACAAUAAGACCAGCACAGGACCAGUCCUCGCGCUGUGUGCGCAGAGGGGACGUGCGCGUUGUAUGCACCUCCCAUGUGUGCGUGCGUGCAGAUGGGACGUACGCGUUGUGUGUAUGUCUUGCAUCUACUGUGCGC
rnacentral:lncRNA from 1 species